rnacentral:lncRNA from 1 species
UUUAGAGGUGCCUAAGUCAUUUUGUGUUAAGGUCCUCAUAUUAUCAAGAAAUUAUCAUGUACUUCCAAAUAUAUUAUUAGACAUUUUGCGUUAAGGUCCCGCGCUUCAAAAUAUAUUAUUAUAUAUGAAACCGGCGGCUAGCCACACUGGCCACAUCAGCCAAAAUUAUUUCGGUCAUCGAAUGGCCAUCCAAUGGCUAAUGGCUUAGCAGGGCCUAAGGUAUUUUGCGUUAAAGUCCUCUCAUUAUUAAGAAAUCAUCCUGCACUUCCAAAAAUAGGUCAAAAUCAUCUCGCACUUCCAAAAUAUAGGUGUCGUCUUCUUGUUCACCUAGGACUCUCUCGACCUCAACCGCUUCUUGUCCACAUAGGAGAAAAAAAAUCUCACCCUCCCUCCCUUCUCCUCCCCUCUGCU